UGCUGGUUUAAAAGUGUGUAGCACCUCUCCCUUCACUCUCUUUCUCCUGUUUGGCCGUGUACCAAGUUCCUGCCUGUCUUCUGUCUUCACCCGUGACUUGCCUCAAGUAGUUGGCUCCUUUCCCACCGGCUACUUUGUAACUGCGAAUAUGACAACAUGACGGUGAUUCACAGAUGCCAAAAUAUGACGAGCAGAGCAAAUCUGUGUUCCAGAUAUGAUAAGAUAAAACCCCAUCGUAAGUGGAGAAGCACCUGCAUUGUGAUGUUAGCUCCAUGCACGCACUUCAUCCGUGCUUUGCCUGAUGCGUCUCUUCCAUUUGGCCGUUUUUGAGUGGUAUCCUUUAUAAGAAUAACCCAGUAAUAGUUGAAUUUGGUGAGAGGCCCAAGAGCCCAUGCUGAGUCUCGUCCUUCUAAAGCCCUUCACUAAGCAUUGUGUUGUUCAGUGAAUGUUCCUCCUCUGGAUUCACAUUACUACUCACUAGCACCUCAUUUGACGGUGGAUGUAGACUCAUUUGCAUGCUUAUUUCCUGUUUUAUGUUUAUGCCGACCUUCUUAAAUAAAAUAAAUCCUUUAUGAGUUCUACCUCAUUUUAUUCCCCUUUUUCACCACUUUGACCAUACUGAUUCCCCCAAAACCUGUUCUAGAAAAUGUAUUUAAUAAUGUUGAUGAUGACAAUGAUGUCUAAUGUCAAUAAUGACAUGGUAAAAAAUUUCUGUUUCAGGAAUUUUUUUUUACAUUCAAUAAAGAUACAAUACAUAGAUGAAGUAUAAUUUUAAAACAUGGUCACUUUCGGAAUUCUGACAAUCUUUGAAAAACCAAAAGAGGCAAAAUGGA
rnacentral:lncRNA from 10 species